UGUGAGCUCGAUGAGUAGGGCGGGACACGUGGUAUCCUGUCUGAAUAUGGGGGGACCAUCCUCCAAGGCUAAAUACUCCUGACUGACCGAUAGUGAACCAGUACCGUGAGGGAAAGGCGAAAAGAACCCCGGCGAGGGGAGUGAAAAAGAACCUGAAACCGUGUACGUACAAGCAGUGGGAGCCUCUUAAUGGGGUGACUGCGUACCUUUUGUAUAAUGGGUCAGCGACUUAUAUUCUGUAGCAAGGUUAACCGAAUAGGGGAGUCGAAGGGAAACCGAGUCUUAACUGGGCGUUAAGUUGCAGGGUAUAGACCCGAAACCCGGUGAUCUAGCCAUGGGCAGGUUGAAGGUUGGGUAACACUAACUGGAGGACCGAACCGACUAAUGUUGAAAAAUUAGCGGAUGACUUGUGGCUGGGGGUGAAAGGCCAAUCAAACCGGGAGAUAGCUGGUUCUCCCCGAAAGCUAUUUAGGUAGCGCCUCGUGAAUUCAUCUCCGGGGGUAGAGCACUGUUUCGGCAAGGGGGUCAUCCCGACUUACCAACCCGAUGCAAACUGCGAAUACCGGAGAAUGUUAUCACGGGAGACACACGGCGGGUGCUAACGUCCGUCGUGAAGAGGGAAACAACCCAGACCGCCAGCUAAGGUCCCAAAGUCAUGGUUAAGUGGGAAACGAUGUGGGAAGGCCCAGACAGCCAGGAUGUUGGCUUAGAAGCAGCCAUCAUUUAAAGAAAGCGUAAUAGCUCACUGGUCGAGUCGGCCUGCGCGGAAGAUGUAAACGGGGCUAAACCAUGCACCGAAGCUGCGGCAGCGACACUAUGUGUUGUUGGGUAGGGGAGCGUUCUGUAAGCCUGUGAAGGUGGCCUGUGAGGGUUGCUGGAGGUAUCAGAAGUGCGAAUGCUGACAUAAGUAACGAUAAAGCGGGUGAAAAGCCCGCUCGCCGGAAGACCAAGGGUUCCUGUCCAACGUUAAUCGGGGCAGGGUGAGUCGACCCCUAAGGCGAGGCCGAAAGGCGUAGUCGAUGGGAAACAGGUUAAUAUUCCUGUACUUGGUGUUACUGCGAAGGGGGGACGGAGAAGGCUAUGUUGGCCGGGCGACGGUUGUCCCGGUUUAAGCGUGUAGGCUGAUUUUCCAGGCAAAUCCGGAAAAUCAAGGCUGAGGCGUGAUGACGAGGCACUACGGUGCUGAAGCAACAAAUGCCCUGCUUCCAGGAAAAGCCUCUAAGCAUCAGGUAACAUCAAAUCGUACCCCAAACCGACACAGGUGGUCAGGUAGAGAAUACCAAGGCGCUUGAGAGAACUCGGGUGAAGGAACUAGGCAAAAUGGUGCCGUAACUUCGGGAGAAGGCACGCUGAUAUGUAGGUGAAGUCCCUCGCGGAUGGAGCUGAAAUCAGUCGAAGAUACCAGCUGGCUGCAACUGUUUAUUAAAAACACAGCACUGUGCAAACACGAAAGUGGACGUAUACGGUGUGACGCCUGCCCGGUGCCGGAAGGUUAAUUGAUGGGGUUAGCGGCAACGCGAAGCUCUUGAUCGAAGCCCCGGUAAACGGCGGCCGUAACUAUAACGGUCCUAAGGUAGCGAAAUUCCUUGUCGGGUAAGUUCCGACCUGCACGAAUGGCGUAAUGAUGGCCAGGCUGUCUCCACCCGAGACUCAGUGAAAUUGAACUCGCUGUGAAGAUGCAGUGUACCCGCGGCAAGACGGAAAGACCCCGUGAACCUUUACUAUAGCUUGACACUGAACAUUGAGCCUUGAUGUGUAGGAUAGGUGGGAGGCUUUUGAAGUGUGGACGCCAGUCUGCAUGGAGCCGACCUUGAAAUACCACCCUUUAAUGUUUGAUGUUCUAACGUUGGCCCGUAAUCCGGGUUGCGGACAGUGUCUGGUGGGUAGUUUGACUGGGGCGGUCUCCUCCUAAAGAGUAACGGAGGAGCACGAAGGUUGGCUAAUCCUGGUCG
rnacentral:rRNA from 1 species